UUAUAUUCUUAGUAGAGACGGUGUUUCACCAUGUUAGCCAGGAUGGUCUCAAUCUCCUGACCAUGUGAUCCGCCCACCUCAGUCUCCCACAGUGCUGGGAUUACAGGCGUGAGCCACUGCGCCCGGCCUUAAAUAGUAAUUUCAAAGCAUUUUUUAUGCUUUCAGCAACGGCAGCCUUUAACAGUUGAGCACAUGUAUGAAGACAUCAGUCAGGAUCAUGUGAAGAAAACAGUGACCAUUGAAAAUCACCCUCAUCUGCCACCACCUCCCAUGUGUUCAGUUCACCCAUGCAGGUCUGUAUAUGUAGAGAUAAAUAUAUUUUUUGAUGUGAUUGUAUAUUUCAUGGAUUUAUUACUUGAGAAUCUUUAAACAUAGAACCCUAACAGAAAAAAAUUUUCUUACUAAAAAGUAAAAUUCUCUCUUGUCCUCCUUAGAAAUUUUCUUGUGCUUAAAUAUAUAAGAAAAAGGAAAAAAAAAACUUACCAAUUUGUUUUAAGUUUAAUAUGUUAAGAAUUUUUUUGUUCUCUGUGGGUGUUUAUAGAAUAGAUGGAUCUUUGUGAUUUUACUACACUUUUUAGCUUCCAGAACAGUUUGGAAGAUUCUGUUUUUGACUCAGAAAUAGUCAUCAUUUAGAUAUGGUUUGCUGUGUUGUGACUGCCUUUCUGUGAAUGUAGACUGUGGAGUUAACCUUGUGAUUUUUCUAGGUGACCUAUUUGCUUUCUUUUAUUGAUUAGUGAAGGGAGAUAUAUGGAUGUAUGUUCUUCAGUUGAGAGCUCGUCAGCCUUAGCAAGUCAAGUGCAUUUUAUAAGUUGGGAUUUUCUUUGUAUCAGUGUUUUUUCACAGAGCCAAAUCUGUGAAGCUGAACCUAUAUACAUGAUUAGUUCAGAAUUUUUCUUAAAAAACAGUUACUACAUGCCAAUUUCUUUAGGUUGGUUAUUUCUAAUAGAUAACUUUCCCAGUUGACUGGAAAAUACUGGUAACAUACUAGUAACAAUAUUUUUCAGUGAAACUCAUAUUCUGUUGACUAGUUAGAUGAAACAUUUUGUUUUCUCUUCCCUCUAGUUAAAAACAACCUUUAAUAUUUUCUUCUCAUAUUCUGCAACCUCUUUACUCUCAAACUUUAACUCCGUGGAAGACCUUGCUCAUUUUUUCAGUUUUAUUAUGUCUGAAACUUUGCUAACUAUGAAAAAUAAUUUAGGAGCCAUUAGUUUUAGUGUUGAAUUAUGUAAUCUAAAAAGUUUUCAGUUUUUAGAGUUAUUCUCUUGAUUCCUCUUAUGGUUUAAGGUCUUAGGAUGGUGCUUAUCAAACUGAAGCGUAUCUCUCUGAGGUAUAAACUUUACUCAGUUGGGGGAAAAAUAAUUUAACUGGUAAUUAUGUUAAACAUUUUAAUAAAAUAGAUGACUGUAUUGUGGAAUGGGACAUAAGUAUUUCAAAAAAUCUGAGUGCCUAUAAAAUAAAACUUCAAGGACAUUUUAGACCAUUCCAUGGGCUGCCUCAGAUUGUGCCUUCAAAUCCUCUGGAAUGAUACAUUUACUCUCAUAUUCUAAGUUGACUGUCUCUGUCAUGAAGAUUAUAGUCGUAAAAACUGAAACAGCAUUAUUUAAGCCAAGGUAUGUUGAAAAGACUGUUUCUUUAAAAAUUGUCUUUUUCUUGGUUUCUGUGCCUAGAUACUAACUUUGAUAUCACUCUUUUCUAUAGUACAGGAGAGAGAACAGUUAGCCAUGAAAAGAUGUAUAGAUAGGACAAAAACUUCAUAUAAAUAAAUACCUUUCUUCUUAUAAGCCAAAAAAUUUAUUUUUACAUAGAAUUGGAUAAAUUUUAGAAUACCCAUUAGGACAAAGAAACAAAUACAAACCUCUCAACUCUAACCAAUUAGCUUUUCUUAAACCCUCUCAGUUUUGGCUUAUUCUCAGCUAAAUAAACAGCCCAGAUCACAAGAUUAUAGAUACCUCUUUGCUUUUUUGUCCAACUGAUACCAUGUGUCUUUUUUUUUUUUUUUUUAAUUUGCCUGGCAUGACUCUUUUGUUUCUUAGAGCAAACAGCUAUCAUUCCACAUUUUCUCCUGGAAUGAUUUCCUCUUCUCUGGUUUUCUGCCUUCCUUGUCUCUCCCAAUUAUCAGAACACUAACUAAUGCCAUGGUGUCUGCUGUGACUACCAUAGCUUUUUAAGAUUAUGCCCUCCCCUGGUAAAACUGUUGGCAUGGCAUAACAAUCUAUUAUCUUUUGUGUUUCGGAAGUGGAGGGGAGAUAUUUUAUAAUUUAACUAUUUUAAUAAAUAUUUUAUAGUUAUUGGGGAGUGGUGGGGGAGAUAGUUUAUAAUAUAACUAUUAAAAAUUAAUUCACUGAGAGUAAUAGGGUCGAUUUCUUUACAAAUGAAAAUAUGUUUUUCUUCUUUUGGUCUAAUCGAUCUACAUUAACAAUUUUUUUUUUUUUUUUGGCUUCUAGGCAUGCUGAGGUGAUGAAGAAAAUCAUUGAGACUGUUGCAGAAGGAGGGGGAGAACUUGGAGUUCAUAUGUAUCUUCUUAUUUUCUUGAAAUUUGUACAAGCUGUCAUUCCAACAAUAGAAUAUGACUACACAAGACACUUCACAAUGUAAUGAAGAGAGCAUAAAAUCUAUCCUAAUUAUUGGUUCUGAUUUUUAAAGAAUUAACCCAUAGAUGUGACCAUUGACCAUAUUCAUCAAUAUAUACAGUUUCUCUAAUAAGGGACUUAUAUGUUUAUGCAUUAAAUAAAAAUAUGUUCCACUACCAGCCUUACUUGUUUAAUAAAAAUC
rnacentral:sRNA from 1 species